AGAGUUUGAUCAUGGCUCAGGACGAACGCUGGCGGCGUGCUUAACACAUGCAAGUCGAACGGAAAGGCCCUUCGGGGUACUCGCGGGGCGAACGGGUGAGUAACACGUGGGUGAUCUGCCCUGCACUUCGGGAUAAGCCUGGGAAACUGGGUCUAAUACCGGAUAUGACUACAUGUCGCAUGGUGUGUGGUGGAAAGAUUUUUUGGUGGGGGAUGGGCCCGCGGCCUAUCAGCUUGUUGGUGGGGUGAUGGCCUACCAAGGCGACGACGGGUAGCCGGCCUGAGAGGGCGACCGGCCACACUGGGACUGAGACACGGCCCAGACUCCUACGGGAGGCAGCAGUGGGGAAUAUUGCGCAAUGGGCGGAAGCCUCACGCAGCGACGCCGCGUGGGGGAUGACGGCCUUCGGGUUGUAAACCUCUUUCGGCCCCGACGAAGCGUGAGUGACGGUAGGGGUAGAAGAAGCACCGGCCAACUACGUGCCAGCAGCCGCGGUAAUACGUAGGGUGCGAGCGUUGUCCGGAAUUAUUGGGCGUAAAGAGCUCGUAGGCGGUCUGUCGCGUCGAUCGUGAAAACUUGGGGCUUAACCCUGAGCUUGCGGUCGAUACGGGCAUCACUGGAGUUCGGCAGGGGAGACUGGAAUUCCUGGUGUAGCGGUGAAAUGCGCAGAUAUCACGAGGAACACCGGUGGCGAAGGCGGGUCUCUGGGCCGAUACUGACGCUGAGGAGCGAAAGCGUGGGGAGCGAACAGGAUUAGAUACCCUGGUAGUCCACGCCGUAACGGUGGGCGCUAGGUGUGGGGGCCAUUCCACGGUCUCUGUGCCGUAGCUAACGCAUUAAGCGCCCCGCCUGGGGAGUACGGCCGCAAGGCUAAAACU
rnacentral:rRNA from 1 species